UACGAAGAGGGCUAGCGUUGUUCGGAAUUACUGGGCGUAAAGCGCACGUAGGCGGAUCUGUAAGUAGGGGGUGAAAUCCCCGGGCUCAACCCGGGAACUGCCUUCUAGACUGCAGACCUUGAGAUCAGGAGAGGCGAGCGGAAUUCCGAGUGUAGAGGUGAAAUUCGUAGAUAUUCGGAGGAACACCAGUGGCGAAGGCGGCUCGCUGGACUGAUACUGACGCUGAGGUGCGAAAGCGUGGGGAGCAAACAGG
rnacentral:rRNA from 1 species